GUAACAAACCUGCAGUAGACUUGUAGCAAUGCUGUUCCAACAACUUGUCAACAGGAUGUGUUCGCACUGCUUGUUCCCAGCUUGUUGACAAGUUGUCAACAGCUUGUUCAAACUUGCUACAAGAUUGUUGACUCGACAGACUUGUUACAAGUUGUUCCAACAACUUAUUAUCGUCCUGCAAUUCAACAAUUUGUCAACAAAUCGUGAGUGACAACCUUGUAGCAACUUGACAAAAUAACAGCAUUGUCACAACUUGUUGACAAGCUUGCU